GAUGAACGCUAGCUACAGGCUUAACACAUGCAAGUCGAGGGGAAACGGCAUCGAAAGCUUGCUUUUGAUGGGCGUCGACCGGCGCACGGGUGAGUAACGCGUAUCCAACCUGCCCAUCACUUGGGAAUAACCUUGCGAAAGUAAGACUAAUGCCCAAUGACAUCCCACGAAGGCAUCCGAAUGGGAUUAAAGAUUUAUCGGCGAUGGAUGGGGAUGCGUCUGAUUAGCUUGUUGGCGGGGUGACGGCCCACCAAGGCAACGAUCAGUAGGGGUUCUGAGAGUAAGGUCCCCCAAAAUGGAACUGAGACACGGUCCAAACUCCUACGGGAGGAAGCAGUGAGGAAUAUUAGUCAAUGGGCGAGAGCCUGAACCAGCCAAGUAGCGUGCAGGAGGACGGCCCUAUGGGUUGUAAACUGCUUUUAUAAGGGAAUAAAGUGGGUCACGUGUGACUUUUUGCAUGUACCUUAUGAAUAAGGACCGGCUAAUUCCGUG
rnacentral:rRNA from 1 species